GACGAACGCUGGCGGCGUGCCUAAUACAUGCAAGUCGAGCGGACUUUUGGGAGCUUGCUCCCAAAAGUUAGCGGCGGACGGGUGAGUAACACGUGGGCAACCUGCCUAUAAGACUGGGAUAACUUCGGGAAACCGGAGCUAAUACCGGAUAAUUCAUAUCUACUCAUGUAGGUAUGCUGAAAGACGGUUUACGCUGUCACUUAUAGAUGGGCCCGCGGCGCAUUAGCUAGUUGGUGAGGUAACGGCUCACCAAGGCAACGAUGCGUAGCCGACCUGAGAGGGUGAUCGGCCACACUGGGACUGAGACACGGCCCAGACUCCUACGGGAGGCAGCAGUAGGGAAUCUUCCGCAAUGGACGAAAGUCUGACGGAGCAACGCCGCGUGAGUGAUGAAGGUUUUCGGAUCGUAAAACUCUGUUGUUAGGGAAGAACAAGUACUAGAGUAACUGCUAGUACCUUGACGGUACCUAACCAGAAAGCCACGGCUAACUACGUGUCAGCCGCCGCAGUAACAC
rnacentral:rRNA from 1 species